AUUAAACUGAAGAGUUUGAUCAUGGCUCAGAUUGAACGCUGGCGGUAUGCUUAACACAUGCAAGUCGAACGGAAACGAUGGAAGCUUGCUUCCAGGCGUCGAGUGGCGGACGGGUGAGUAACGCGUAGGAAUCUACCCAGUAGCGGGGGACAACCCGGGGAAACCCAGGCUAAUACCGCAUAAUCCCUACGGGGCAAAGGGGGCCUCUUCUUGAAAGCUCUCACUAUUGGAUGAGCCUGCGUGAGAUUAGCUAGUUGGUAGGGUAAAGGCCUACCAAGGCGACGAUCUCUAGCUGGUCUGAGAGGACGAUCAGCCACACUGGGACUGAGACACGGCCCAGACUCCUACGGGAGGCAGCAGUGGGGAAUAUUGGACAAUGGGGGCAACCCUGAUCCAGCAAUACCGCGUGUGU
rnacentral:rRNA from 1 species